rnacentral:rRNA from 1 species
AGAUUGAACGCUGGCGGCAUGCCUAACACAUGCAAGUCGAGCGGCAGCGCGGGGGCGACCCUGGCGGCGAGCGGCGGACGGGUGAGUAAGGCAUCGGAAUCUGCCCUGAUGUGGGGGAUAACGUAGGGAAACUUACGCUAAUACCGCAUACGACCGAGAGGUGAAAAGCGGGGGGACCGAAAGGCCUCGCGCAGCAGGAUGAGCCGAUGUCCGAUUAGGCUGGUUGGUGGGGUAACGGCCCACCAAGGCGACGAUCGGUAGCUGGUCUGAGAGGAUCGAAUCAGCCACACUGGGACUGAAGACACGGCCCAGACUCCUACGGGAGGCAGC